GGGAAGCACUUGACAAGCUAUUUUUGGAAAAAUCUCUUCCAAGCAAAAUACAUUUGCUUUAAAAACUAUUUAGUUUUAAGUUGGAUCCGGAAACAUAUCUUAAAUCCAAUUUGAGUGACUUUAACAGACUCGUCAAGUGUUUGGCCCACAAUGAUAAGAAAUUUGAUGAUGAAUAUCUAGGGGAUAUACUUUUAAAUGCUAUGCCCGAAUCUUAUAGAGAUGUUAAGAAUGCUAUCAUGUAUGCUAGGGAUACUUUGACCCGAGAUAUUGUGACUGAUGCUUUGAGGGCUAGGGACCUAGAGCUUAAGAAAGAGUCGAGGAGUAGCUUAAGAGAAGAGAGUUUGUUUGUUAGAGGGAGAAAUGAGACGAGGGAGAACCAUUUUCAAAGUAAAAAAGGCAGAGAAAAAUCGAAGGGUAGGUCUAAAUCUAGAGAUAAGAGUGGUAAAAAAUGCAUCCAUUGUGGCAAUUUAGGAUAUUUCAAGAAAGACUGUAAUGACCUUAAGAAGAAAUAGAGACCACGGCAUGGUGAUAAUCAGAACUUAGUUGCUGUAAGUGAUUCUCUCGAUUGCCUACAUGUUAUGACAGUGUCAAGAGAUUUGGACACCGAUGUAGAUGGUGCUCACGAUAACAUACAUGUCAUAAAUGUUUCUAAUAUUAGUUUCGACACUGAGUGGGUAUUAGACUCGGGUGCCACUGUUCAUAUGUGUCCUGUUAAAUCUUGGUUCUAUAACUAUAGAUAUGUGAAUCCUAGAAAAGUAUACUUAGGGAAUGAUCAUACACAUAAUGUAGAAAGAGUAGGUGAUAUUGCUAUUAGGAUGCAUGAUGGUAUUAUCAGACCCUUUAGAGGUGUUAGGUAUGUCCCAG
rnacentral:lncRNA from 1 species